AUUUCCGGUUGAUCCUGCCGGAUUGCCUUCACCUGCAAGGGGUCAACCGUGAACUCACGGGACGGCUGCCGUUCGCCUCGGUGUAUUUCGUCCAUCUGCUGAACACUUUCCAUCAGAUCAUCGAAAAAAUUGCUCAUGUCUCACCUCCACUGCUCAAUAGCUGUCAUCAUCAAGCAAGGCGCUCAGGCGCUUGGUAAAUACCGGGGUUUCGAUAAAUAUCAUAGGCAAAGUGUACGCCAGCGGCGUAUGUAAUCAACUGUCACAGUCUCAAGCCCACACAAACCGAUUCGAAAAAACGAACGAGCCCGGAAAAGAUAAAAUAACCAAUUAAAUCAAAUAGUUGCGGAACUAUACGGACUCGUGUCAGUCUAUUGUAGUGAACAUGCUAGACUGGACUGGAAGCCCGUAGCGGCUGCAAGGCAAAACAGGAUAGCGACACAGAACUUUGGAGGUGGAUCAUGAGCGAUUCGUUGGGUAGCAGCUUCUAUGCAGGACUGGCAGGGCGGAAUGCGGACCAGGCAAAUGCCAAUCUGCGGGCGGCGAAUGCGGCGGUGGAUCGUGGCGAUCGGAAUGCGCGGAUUGCCAAAGAGUGGAUGGAAACAUCCCGCCGAAACAAAGCGAUUGCAGACGACUGGAUGAACUACGCUCGCGACUUGGAAGGCAAGGUCAAGAAAUGGCAGGCCGAUGCGGUGGAGAGUGGGGCGGCAGCACGCGCAGCGAUCGAAGUCACUCGUAUGCAGAACAACGGGGCUGGACCUCGUACUGUGAUGGGUGCCGAGCAGUACGAUAGCUUAAAAGCCCAGAAGGUCGAUGAGGUAUGCCAGGAGUGGCAGAUCGAAAACCCGUUCAAAGGGUGAGAUAUUCCAAGCACAAAAAAGGCCCCAAAUUUGGGGCCUUUUCGUUACUGGAGGGUCAGUCCUCCGAUCGUUUCGGAGUUUCACGCCCCUCGCUUUCCGAGGCACCGUUCGCGUCACCGCCUGAGCGGCCCUGAGAGCCCCCUCCGUUCACGCCAGAGGACUUGCCGCUAUCGACGUUACCCUUCACCGCAUCGCCCGGAGACGCGGCAUCAGAAGCGCCUGAGCGGCCACCGGCUUCGGAACCGCCUGCCGGCGUGGCGUCUUCACCUUUAUCCUUUUUGGCAGGAUCAUCUUCACCAUCACCCUUCGGCUUGGGCGUACCAGCACCGCCACCGCCGCCUUUGGCCAUCGCGGCGUUGGUACCCUGACCCACGUAGCCGGCAGCACCGGCAUAGGUGCGGGACACCGUUGAUUCGCCUUGAGCUUCGCCCAGCGGUUUGGUGUUGGAGCCUACCCAGCGCAUCACGUUGUCCGCCGUUUCGUAAAUCAUUUCGUGCGAUUUGUGCGACAACGCCACGAUGAGGCCGAUCAGGAUGAUGUUGCCGAACACGAAGGCAAAGAAGCCCGUGGUGGUACCGACGGAUAGCGCCACCGAGGAGUGAUACAUCGUGUACCCGCUCAACGCCAGCUGCGAGAUGAAGUACAUCAUCAGCAUGGAGAAGAACAAACCCAGUACCGGCAGGAUCAACCGGAAAU
rnacentral:rRNA from 1 species